rnacentral:tRNA from 1 species
GGUAAAGUUUAAAACUGAUUUGCAUUCAGUUGUAAUGAAUUAUUCAUACUGAAUA